rnacentral:rRNA from 1 species
CAGGCCUAACACAUGCAAGUCGAACGAGAACGGGAUAUAGCUUGCUAUAUUUGUCAGCUAAGUGGCGCACGGGUGAGUAAUGUAUAGGUAAUAUGCCUCUUACUAAGGGAUAACAAUUGGAAACGAUUGCUAAUACCUUAUAUGCCUUUAAGACUAAAGUCUGCAAGGGAAAGAUUUAUUGGUAAGAGAUUAGCCUGUAUUGUAUCAGUUAGUUGGUGGGGUAAUGGCCUACCAAGACAAUGACGCAUAACUGGUUUGAGAGGAUGAUCAGUCACACUGGAACUGAGACACGGUCCAGACUCCUACGGGAGGCAGCAGUGGGGAAUAUUGCACAAUGGGGGAAACCCUGAUGCAGCAACGCCGCGUGGAGGAUGACACAUUUCGGUGCGUAAACUCCUUUUAUAUAGGAAGAUAAUGACGGUACUAUAUGAAUAAGCACCGGCAACUCUG